rnacentral:rRNA from 1 species
UACAUAACCUCAGUGGGGUAGGAUUACCCGCUAGACUUAAGCAUAUUAAUCAGCGGAGGAAAAGAAACUAACAAGGAUUCCCCUAGUAACUGCGAGUGAAGAGGGAAUAGCUCAACGUGUGAAUCUGUCCGGGAGUAACCCCUGGUUCAGAGUUGUGCACUGUAGACGUCGGUUUCUGCGCUUGAAUUCCAGUUGUCAGUCCCAAGUCGGAUGAAACACCGCACCACAGAAGGUCAUAGCCCUGUGUCUGACUGUGCUUGAAUUUGCGCCAAUGACCGCACGUUCGUCGAGUCGCGUAGUUUUGUAAUGCUGCGCCAAUUGGGAGGUGGAACCCUUCUAAAGCUAAAUAUCAUGACGUGACCGAUAGCAAACAAGUACCGCGAGGGAAAGGUGAAAAGCAACCAUGUAGAAUGCGUUGAAACAGCAGUGAAAGUGCUACUGGGAUAAGGGCUAUUGAGUGCUAGUCUUUUGGUAGCGUGCUUUAGUGCUGCUCCAGGAGCGGCCUGCGUUGAUUGGAACUGGGAGACAUGCUCGGGGUUGAAUUCGGCCAAUGGCUUGCCACUGGUGUUGUAGCCCCAAAAGUUGAGCCCAG